GACGAACGCUGGCGGCGUGCUUAACACAUGCAAGUCGAACGGAAAGGCCCUGCUUGCAGGGUACUCGAGUGGCGAACGGGUGAGUAACACGUGGGUGAUCUGCCCUGCACUUCGGGAUAAGCCUGGGAAUCUGGGUCUAAUACCGGAUAGGAGCCAUUUUUAGUGUGAUGGUUGGAAAGUUUUUUCGGUGUAGGAUGAGCUCGCGGCCUAUCAGCUUGUUGGUGGGGUAAUGGCCUACCAAGGCGGCGACGGGUAGCCGGCCUGAGAGGGUGGACGGCCACAUUGGGACUGAGAUACGGCCCAGACUCCUACGGGAGGCAGCAGUGGGGAAUAUUGCACAAUGGGCGCAAGCCUGAUGCAGCGACGCCGCGGGGGGGAGGACGGCCUUCGGGUUGUAAACUCCUUUCGCUAGGGACGAAGCUUUUUGUGACGGUACCUAGAUAAGAAGCACCGGCUAACUACGUG
rnacentral:rRNA from 1 species